GUCUUUUUAGCUUAAACUAAAGCACUCGUUUUGUAAACGAACGAUGAGAUUAAUAACCUCUUUAGACA
rnacentral:tRNA from 1 species